rnacentral:antisense_RNA from 1 species
GAUCCAGAAUGCAUAUAAGCUCUAAGGCAGGACAGAGUGGCAGUUUGUAGAACGCUCCACAGUCCUUAAACCAGCCCCACUUCCAGUUCUACCCACUCUUGGCUUAGGAAAUUUUCUCCUCUUUUUGCCCUGAAAAUUAGCCUUGGUGGCUGAGUUUUGCUUUUCAGGUUCUCAUUGCUAGUGCUUAUUUUGAGGCUUAGUGACCAUCUCAUUCCUACUGCUGGCCGGCAGUAGGGAAUCAGACCUUUAGUAGACACAGAGCUCUUCAAAUACAGAGUGAACUUGGGGCAUCUGAUCAUGUGGGUCAAGAUGAACACUACACGAGCGACAGCACAGCAUAUACCUGAACUGAGAGCCACAUGCAGCACUGAGGAGUAAAGGAAUAUUUGGGAGGAUCAGAAGCUUGGUCCUGAUUUUGCCAUCAACCAGGACCUUGAUGACUUCAAGGGAGUCCCCAAACCCUGGGUUUCUGUUUUCUCAACUCUAACAUGAGGGGCUAGACGCAUCUGGUUUAGUUCGUCUCCAUGAUCCUGUGAAUUUCAGAUGUUGAAAAUCUUCAGAAAAGCCCUGAAAGAUGAAGAGUGGUCUCAAAUAGUCAAGACCCCCUGCUGGGGGGAGCGUCUAUCCUGCUCUGUGGAAGAAAUGGGCAUGCCAGAUGCCUG